rnacentral:rRNA from 1 species
UACGUAGGGUGCGAGCGUUGUCCGGAAUUAUUGGGCGUAAAGGGCUCGUAGGCGGUCUGUUGCGUCGGGAGUGAAAACUCAGGGCUUAACCCUGAGCCUGCUUCCGAUACGGGCAGACUAGAGGUAUGCAGGGGAGAACGGAAUUCCUGGUGUAGCGGUGAAAUGCGCAGAUAUCAGGAGGAACACCGGUGGCGAAGGCGGUUCUCUGGGAAUGUCCUGACGCUGAGGAGCGAAAGUGUGGGGAGCGAACAGG